GAUGAACGCUGGCGGCGUGCCUAAUACAUGCAAGUCGAGCGAACGGACGAGAAGCUUGCUUCUCUGAUGUUAGCGGCGGACGGGUGAGUAACACGUGGAUAACCUACCUAUAAGACUGGGAUAACUUCGGGAAACCGGAGCUAAUACCGGAUAAUAUUUUGAACCGCAUGGUUCAAAAGUGAAAGACGGUCUUGCUGUCACUUAUAGAUGGAUCCGCGCUGCAUUAGCUAGUUGGUAAGGUAACGGCUUACCAAGGCAACGAUGCAUAGCCGACCUGAGAGGGUGAUCGGCCACACUGGAACUGAGACACGGUCCAGACUCCUACGGGAGGCAGCAGUAGGGAAUCUUCCGCAAUGGGCGAAAGCCUGACGGAGCAACGCCGCGUGAGUGAUGAAGGUCUUCGGAUCGUAAAACUCUGUUAUUAGGGAAGAACAUAUGUGUAAGUAACUGUGCACAUCUUGACGGUACCUAAUCAGAAAGCCACGGCUAACUACGUGCCAGCAGCCGCGGUAAUACGUAGGUGGCAAGCGUUAUCCGGAAUUAUUGGGCGUAAAGCGCGCGUAGGCGGUUUUUUAAGUCUGAUGUGAAAGCCCACGGCUCAACCGUGGAGGGUCAUUGGAAACUGGAAAACUUGAGUGCAGAAGAGGAAAGUGGAAUUCCAUGUGUAGCGGUGAAAUGCGCAGAGAUAUGGAGGAACACCAGUGGCGAAGGCGACUUUCUGGUCUGUAACUGACGCUGAUGUGCGAAGGCGUGGGGAUCAAACAGGAUUAGAUACCCUGGUAGUCCACGCCGUAAACGAUGAGUGCUAAGUGUUAGGGGGUUUCCGCCCCUUAGUGCUGCAGCUAACGCAUUAAGCACUCCGCCUGGGGAGUACGACCGCAAGGUUGAAACUCAAAGGAAUUGACGGGGACCCGCACAAGCGGUGGAGCAUGUGGUUUAAUUCGAAGCAACGCGAAGAACCUUACCAAAUCUUGACAUCCUUUGACAACUCUAGAGAUAGAGCCUUCCCCUUCGGGGGACAAAGUGACAGGUGGUGCAUGGUUGUCGUCAGCUCGUGUCGUGAGAUGUUGGGUUAAGUCCCGCAACGAGCGCAACCCUUAAGCUUAGUUGCCAUCAUUAAGUUGGGCACUCUAAGUUGACUGCCGGUGACAAACCGGAGGAAGGUGGGGAUGACGUCAAAUCAUCAUGCCCCUUAUGAUUUGGGCUACACACGUGCUACAAUGGACAAUACAAAGGGCAGCGAAACCGCGAGGUCAAGCAAAUCCCAUAAAGUUGUUCUCAGUUCGGAUUGUAGUCUGCAACUCGACUACAUGAAGCUGGAAUCGCUAGUAAUCGUAGAUCAGCAUGCUACGGUGAAUACGUUCCCGGGUCU
rnacentral:rRNA from 1 species